GACGUCAAAUCAUCAUGCCCCUUAUGUCUAGGGCUACACACGUGCUACAAUGGCUGGUACAGAGAGAUGCUAAACCGUGAGGUGGAGCCAAACUUUAAAACCAGUCUCAGUUCGGAUUGUAGGCUGAAACUCGCCUACAUGAAGCUGGAGUUGCUAGUAAUCGCGAAUCAGAAUGUCGCGGUGAAUACGUUCCCGGGCCUUGUACACACCGCCCGUCACACCAUGAGAGUUGGCAAUACCCAAAGUUCGUGAGCUAACGCGCAAGCGGGGCAGCGACCUAAGGUAGGGUCAGCGAUUGGGGUGAAGUCGUAACAAGGUAGCCGUAGGAGAACCUGCGGCUGGAUCACCUCCUUUCUAUGGAGA
rnacentral:rRNA from 1 species